rnacentral:rRNA from 1 species
CCCUUAGAUGUUCUGGGCCGCACGCGCGCUACACUGAUGCGUUCAACAAGUUUCCUUGGCCGAGAGGCCUGGGCAAUCUUCUUAAUAUGUAUCGUGAUAGGGAUAGAUUAUUGCAAUUAUUAAUCUUGAACGAGGAAUUCCUAGUAAACGCAGAUCAUCAAUCUGCAUUGAUUACGUCCCUGCCCUUUGUACACACCGCCCGUCGCACCUACCGAUUGGAUGUUCCGGUGAAGCCUCGGGAUGAGGACUGGUGCCUUUAUUGGCAUGAGUUGUUCAGAACUUGUCUAAACCUUAUCAUCUAGAGGAAGGUGAAGUCGUAGCA